CGUCCGACCGUCCACUGUCCCUCUGUCCUUCAUUCCACCGGAGUCUGUCGGCACAACCAGAUUUCAGUGGCGUGAAGAGCAGGAGGCGUGGAGUGCU
rnacentral:pre_miRNA from 12 species